ACAAACCAUACCUUAUCCCCGUCGCCCACCUUCCCCACAACCCACCCAAGCCCCCCGGCCAACCCCGCCGCCCACCGCCCACCCCGCGGGGCCACAACAUCCUUCCUCGCCACAACCCACCACCUUCCUCCCGCCGCCACACUAGGCUCCCACAAUCGCCCCACCUUCUUCUAACCGCCGCCAUGGAACACCACCUCUGCCCCGAUCCACCUUGGUCCUGUGCGCCGCCGUCGGCCGUGGAUCCCGGGCGACGCCUCCUGUCUUUGGAUCGCGACCUCCGCCGCAGGGGUCCCCGAGUGAAGACGAGCAAGCCGUGCAUCCCAGGCACCGUCUCCUACCUCUGAUCCCGCCGGCCGCCACCGGGGUCCCCGACUAAAGGAUGCAAAACCACUAGUGCAGCGGGUGAAACACGCUAAGACAUUGGAGGGGCGAAGCUCCCCGACAGGUGCCAGGUAAGUUUCACCAGUGGCCGAUGCCACGGUCACCAGCCCCGUGCAUGGGGUCGCACCGCCUGUCCCUCCAUCUGGUGCUAGCACCGAGGUCCCUUCUCUUGAAUCUGACAAUGAGUUGGGAGAGGCCCACCAACAAGAGGAGCACCAAGAGACGGAUCCUGUCAUGCGGUCCCCGUCAACCAUCGCCCCAGAGAGUGCCACCCCGACAAGGGCCUCCAUCGACGAUCCUAUUUGCGCCGGUACCACCUCGCCCGUGAGAUUAGUUGAAGGUAGUGCACCGACAACACAAGCUUCCUUGGGAGGGAGUGCCCCCCCCCCACACACAACAAGUACUGACAGGUAAUCCUCUCAUUAUUCCACACUUUGCUGGGACUUUUAUUUUUCUUGUCUUGAACUUGCAAUUUGAACCUUGUUUAUUUUUUGAUCUGAGCCCCAAUUUUCCCCGAAGGAAGUGACACUACUACAGGAUACUCCUAAUGCGACACUAUGAUUAGAGACCCUUCGUCGAAACUAUGUGCGAUGCAAUAAUCACAAACGGUGGUGUAAAAAACCCGUCAAAAAGGUGCAAAAAGUUUGUGAUGGAGGAUGCAUCAAACACGGUUCAGAUUUUGGUUGCGUGUGCGAUGCAGGGCAUACAGUUCAGUUCAAUUAACUGUUUGCGAUGAUGAGGAACAAAAGAAACGGGAAGCCAGAUGAAGGUGUGUGUGAUAUACAACAUACGGUUCACUCGGAUGAACUGUUUGUGAUUAGGCAACACAAAAGAAACGGUCAGCCAGAUCAAGGUGUGUGCAAUAUAUGUCAUGCGGUUCAAUCGGAUAAACUGUUUGCUUUGAGCCAAGAGAACAGAAACGGUUCAAUAUAACAAGAUGUGUGUCAUACGCGGCAAAAAUGUCUAUAAUCAGAAAUGUGUGUGAAGACUGAUAAUAACACACAUGAUUGCUGCUAAUAAGUCAUGUGUGUUGUGGGCAAACGCUUGGUGGUAUACAAUUAUGAACGAUUGAUGAAAUCAUCACCGACGGGUUUCCCAGUAUGCUCUAUGUGCAAUGUCAUUGCACACAGAACAACAACACAUGUACUUAUAACUUAUAAGGACUUGAUUCCAUAAAAAGAUUGAACAUCCAAUUACAUAUGUGGCUAGUACACACAUGACCAUUGCACACACUAAAGUACGUUCCAAAAUGCCUAGGAAACUCAAAUAAUGUAUUAAAAGGCAAAACAAACUAUGAGUAAUUUCAUAUUUUUAGGACGACGCUACUAUAGUUGCAUGUUGCCUCUGUAAAAUAAAUCAAGGCAGUAAGAGACAGCGUAUGUCGUUUCACACACAUAGGUGACAAGGCCCCUCUCCGAACCAUGAGCCUUUUUGAGAGAAGCUCCAGUUUGUAAGAAGUUUGUACCAAAACUUGUCCCAAUUUGGACUAAUUUUUUACCACAACAUGAUGGUGCUAUGUCAUAAUACCAUGCCAAGUUUCAUUAUUUUGAGGCGAGUUUUGGAUUUACAGUAAUAUUAAAACCAGGUUUCUCAAUGUUUAAUGUCGAGUCGGCACCGUCCUGGAUAGGCUUUUUCCUCGUGGGUCCCAAAUGAAAAAUUCAAAUUUGUCACUACCAUGCAACUUUUCUUAUUAAGAAUUACAGACCAUUUGGUGUGCUAGCUGAAAAUAAGUUUGUGGGUGCUGGUGGGCGCCAAGAACUUGCGGUUCUGUAAUGAACAAAGAUCUCAAGGAUCCUGCGAGAGUGAGGAUCUUUCCCUAUGUUGUGAAUGCUUAUAAUAUUUAUGUCAUAAUUAAAGAAAUGGCAAGCCAUUGGCCCAGUAUGAAAGAAAAUGUGGGUCAAACCCUAGUUGAAAAGGGCAACAAUGUCUAACUCCAGCUUACAAAGGAUACAAAAGCACAAGGAUUAAUUGUUCAUCAGGUUUACACAUAACCCAUGUUGAAUAGGACAAAGAAAUCUAACUCAACCAAAGUUUUCGACAGUUACAAUCAAAUGGACCAGUCUAAUCCAUAAAAUCAAGAUCCCAAUACAAUAAUUCUACUGCUCCAUGAUGAUCACAAGCUGUUGUAAAUAGAAGCCGAACACGAUCAGAAGCCCUUAGGUCCACCUGAAACUUCUUUUUAUGCUCUUCAACACUUGCAGCUGUGAGUAAUUUCUUGUUGAAAAUUUAAUCCUCACGGACAAUAGUGCCCUCACAUUCAACAUGAAGAAUCUAACAAAACUAGUGUUUGCACUAUUGGAUGAUAUCAUUCUAGCGUUACUGUCUUCAAAUGAAUGUCAUGAGAUCUGAGAAAAUCCCCGUGCUUCAUCAAUCAUCGAUUGGUUAUACCUUUUUCUCCAUGUGUUUUUGCCUAAAUAGAGAUGAAGAUUAAAAUAGUUAAUGUCUAAAAAAGAUUAUGUCGAAAGAGUGAUAGUUGAAUGAUUAAUUAUAGUACAUUAUAUAUGGGCUUUCAAUAUGCGUGAAAUCAUCAC